CCUACGGGUGGCAGCAGUGGGGAAUAUUGGACAAUGGGCGAAAGCCUGAUCCAGCCAUGCCGCGUGUGUGAAGAAGGCCUUCGGGUUGUAAAGCACUUUCAGUGGGGAAGAAAGCCUUGGGGCUAAUACCCUCGAGGAGGGACAUCACCCACAGAAGAAGCACCGGCUAACUCCGUGCCAGCAGCCGCGGUAAUACGGAGGGUGCGAGCGUUAAUCGGAAUUACUGGGCGUAAAGCGCGCGUAGGCGGUCUGAUAAGCCGGUUGUGAAAGCCCCGGGCUCAACCUGGGAACGGCAUCCGGAACUGUCAGGCUAGAGUGCAGGAGAGGAAGGUAGAAUUCCCGGUGUAGCGGUGAAACGCGUAGAGAUCGGGAGGAAUACCAGUGGCGAAGGCGGCCUUCUGGACUGACACUGACGCUGAGGUGCGAAAGCGUGGGUAGCAAACAGGAUUAGAUACCCCGGUAGUC
rnacentral:rRNA from 1 species